rnacentral:rRNA from 1 species
AUUGAACGCUGGCGGCAGGCCUAACACAUGCAAGUCGAGUGGAUGAAGGGAGCUUGCUCCUGGAUUCAGCGGCGGACGGGUGAGUAAUGCCUAGGAAUCUGCCUGGUAGUGGGGGAUAACGUCCGGAAACGGGCGCUAAUACCGCAUACGUCCUGAGGGAGAAAGUGGGGGAUCUUCGGACCUCACGCUAUCAGAUGAGCCUAGGUCGGAUUAGCUAGUUGGUGGGGUAAAGGCCUACCAAGGCGACGAUCCGUAACUGGUCUGAGAGGAUGAUCAGUCACACUGGAACUGAGACACGGUCCAGACUCCUACGGGAGGCAGCAGUGGGGAAUAUUGGACAAUGGGCGAAAGCCUGAUCCAGCCAUGCCGCGUGUGUGAAGAAGGUCUUCGGAUUGUAAAGCACUUUAAGUUGGGGGGAAGGGCAGUAAGUUAAUACCUUGCUGUUUUGACGUUACCAACAGAAUAAGCACCGGCUAACUUCGUG